GGAAAUCGGGGAGAGCCUGGCGACCCGUGCGAGGCGACGCGACACCGUACACCCUGAUUUGAUUGGGUCGAGAGCGCGGCUGCACGGCGAAAAGUAACACUCUGCUGUUGAGAGAAGGGAUUACUUGCUCGGUUUACUUUCCUUCUUUUAACUAACGGUUAUUUCCAGCAAAGAAUAUAAAUGGUUGUCUCAAAAUACUCGUCACUAGUCUUAGAGAAGCUCGUCAUCGUGCAUUCAGGAGGAGAAUUUGUUCUGCUUGCAAGAACGUAUCAUAAAAUUUGUGGAAGAAAAACUUGGCUCAAGUCUGACUAAUUCGUGUGUUAACUUGAUAUCCUUGAUUGAACUGCAACAUCUAUCUAGAAUUCAGAAACGUAUUUUGAGUAAAUUUGAUGCGCGGAUAUGUAAACUUAUGAAAUACUUCAAGCAAGCAACACUUACUCGAGUGCAGUGUAUAAUUUUCUGUGUGCAUAUUGACGGCGAAAAUUCAGUACAUGGGGAGAAUUUUAUAGUAAAAAUAACUACAGAAUUUUGUGGCCAAGAAACAGAUGGCUGUGCUGCAAUAAUUGAUAAUUUUGUGCUACGCAUAUCUUAGGACCUGAAGUGUACUAUUGAAAAAUUUGCUACACGAGACAUAUCGUGUUCCUUAGCAAGAUAUACCUCGUUAAGAGUCUAUUUCUGCAUUGCUGGAAACGUAGUAAAAUUGCGAAUGGUUCGUACGAAAGAAAAACCAUGAUAUUCCCUCCGUGUGGAUACUGUGGAAAACCAAACGUGACACUACAACAUUAUAUAGUCCACGCUACACACGGUAAAAAAUAUUAUGGUUGCUAUAUCUACGUACUCUAUGAUUAGAGAGAAAAUUUAUGCGAUUUCAAGUGAAAUAGAUACGGCAUUAAAAAUUGCUGUUAUUAUAUGUCCAUCUAUACAGUUCUCACAACCAUAGUUCUCAUGAUAUAUAAUGUUCAGUCAGUACAUUCUCAUAUAUACAUAGUUGCCUCAACCAAAGAAAUAUUGCUGUCUCCCAGUCUGUGGAACAAAUACUAAGAGAGAUCCGUAGAGUUUGUUUGCACCAUACAGCACUGAGAGUACUACUGAAACACAUAUGGAUAAGGAAGGUUAAUGUACCACUUCCAAAGUACUAUGGAUAAUGCAAUCAUCUUGUACGCGAAAGGUAACAUUAAUAUUUUGUUAUGGCAACCAUUAUUUAGGUAAGUAAUUUGUGUCUUCUCUGUGCGAUAAUAAUAUCGUAUACUUCGCAACUUUGCGAACGCAAAAACUCGCGCGUUGUGCGCGACAGUCCGCCUCAUCGCAGAUCCCGCGCGCACGCACUUCAAAGUAUCGGGUUGAUUGAGUAACAAGCAUUACGUCUCUUUGACUUUUCGGCUCAUUAAUCUGUACACAUCUGCGGGCCACAUCUCGGCCUGGAAUACGAUUCUUUCGCCCGUCGGUCAUUGGCCCCUUCGCGGAGCGAGCCGAUAUUCGAACUGCGUGCGUUACCAAUUGAUGAAAAUUAUUUUCGUGAGUUACGAUUGAUCGUAAUAAUGGCGGGGAUCGGUAGGAGAGCCCCGCCGCCCCGUCAUGAUAACCGAUCACUGGCCGCGGUCAAAAUUCCAAGUGAGGCGUGCCUGAAGGAGCAGAGACGAGAAGACACCCGCAAGAAGACCGGCCGUAAUUGACUCUUUGCGACUUAUUACGUAUGCAGGAAAAAAGGGGCCGAUACGAGUAGGUUAAUCACUCUCCCUCUCCUCCCCCUCCUCUUCCCCCCUGGCGCAGCGUGCAUUCCUGAGGCCCCGCUCUAACAAAUGCUAAUCCGUCAAUAGAGAUUUACAUAGUCGCGCUCCUCGCGCAACAAUGGCACAUUCUAUCGCGCGCCUUUGCCGUUACGCGCAUCGCGCAUUAGAUGCACUCACACAUACGUACACACACACGCGCGCGCGCGCGCGCGAUGUGCGCAGCAGGUCCAUCAUUCCUCGCACGUACCAAUAAGUGCAUCAACAUUCUUCUUCCUUAACGAAUUCUCGCGCCGGCGAUCGGCUUAACCGGCGCUCCAUGUACCAAUAGGUUUCGCCGAGAUACACGUAGCGGACGCUUUCUGGUCACGUAUAUGUCAUGUAACAGCGCCUCGGUCGCUGACCUCCCGAUUAAUUUAGAUGUUAAUUGACACUCCCGCUAGAGAGUCGCGAACUGUUUGCUCGGGGGAUGUCCCCUCCCCCUCCCCUUACCCUCUUCCGAGAUGAUGACGCUCGUUAUGACGCGUGAGAGGACCCGUGCGAUAAUAAUGUAUCGAGAAUAAUGCUCUCGCACGAAGAGGAUGUUAUAGAUUUUUCCUUGUUUUUUUGUUUUUUUUUUUCUUAUAAAUUCUUUUCCGUUUCACCAUGUUUCCAGUGGUACACGAAUCAGACUAUCAGUCUAUCUGAGGAACAUAGUAAAUUUCACUGGAAACAUUGCAAAUUUUUUUAAUGGCAGAUUUCAUUUCCUAAAACAUAAAUGGCAUAUAUGGAACUGUCGAUCUGUUCCUUUUAUGGUCACAAAAUUCUAUAGCGAUUCUUACUCACUGAAAUUCUCUCCGUGUAACUUUCUCGCCUCUGCGAGAUAACGCGGCGCGAAGAAAAUCUCCAUUAUUAAUCCAUUAUAUAUGAAUAAUUCAUUAUAAAUCCAUUAGGAUUAUUUCCCAAUCAAUUGGUUAAUAAUUUUCACGAUUAGCUGGCUGAUUAAUCCGUCAAAAUCCCUGAUGUGUUAAUUAGCCACGAGAAAAUCCGGUCAAUCCAACCGGCCACCCGUGGACCAACGCGACCGAUGAGAAUCCUGCUGGAUCAUUUCCUGAUUUUCUCGUGCACGACGACGAUGUCGGCGUUGGCCCGCAACAGUGUUAGUAGUAGCACCUGGCAAGAGGAGAGGCAGCGCGAUUAGAGCGGCACUAUUACGCGUUCCAUACGACGUACGGUGUGCAGUAGAAGGUGGUGCCGCGCGGAGAAGAGGAGGCGGGACACAUCUGGAAUGUGUGUAAGAUCGAUGGGAGAACGAUUUGAUAUUGCUAAAAGUUCUUUAAGUGUCAGUUUUAUGAGAUUUGUAAGAGCUUUAAAUAAUAUAGCUAGUAAUGUAAUUGAUGGCCUGAAAGAAGAACUCAUGUGAAAGAAGCCUUUCAGCAGAUUGCUGGGUUACUUAAUGUAUUUGUAAUAAUAAAUGGAUCAUAUAUUGACAUAAAGGCUCCAAAGAAUAACGCUCAAUAUUAUAUAAAUAAGAAGAACCAUUUUUCAAUAACUUUCCAAGCAGUAUGGAUACAGAGUUACAUUUUACAGACUUCGCAAGAUAUCGCUUCAUUUGUCAAUGACAUUCGAAUCUUUAGAAAUAGUGACUGGUGGAAAGAAAUUCACAAUAAUUACCAUCACUAUUUUCCAGCAAAAGAGUUCAUAAUUGGGAACAAAGCUUACUCUGUGCUUACAUGGUGUAUUCCUUCGUAUCGUAACCUUGGAAAUUUAACUCAUGUAAUUAUAUAAUAUGCUACAAUAUAUAUUUUUAAGUUAAGUGUAUCUUUUAUUUCUCUUUUAGAUUCAAAAGAACUUCAACGAUAUUCAUGCUAAAACAAGGCAAGUUAUUGAGAGAGCAUUUUUUCUGCUUAAAGGAAGAUUUAAGGAGACUAAAGUUCCUUGACAUGAAUCGGGAUGAUAUAAUUCCACACGUUAUCAUAGCAUGUUGUAUUCUUCGUAACAUAUGUCUCAUUGAUAUCGUUAACCUUUAGACUGCCGGCAUUUUUCAUUAAAAAAGUGGUUUUUUUUCUAAAAAAUUGUUCUAUACAAGUAACACACAUGGUGCAGAAUUUUAAGAUUUGUACAGAGCCACAAAAGUGGCUUUCCCGACAGGGAACGUACGAUUAAAUAUAAAAAAUUUUUAUUUUCUUAAAAAUAGUGUAUUUUGGGGGUUUUUGGUAUCGCUGAUUCUAAUUCUGAGCAUAGAUUUAUGAAAUUUCAAGUCCUAAGCGCAAUAUUGACAAUAUAAAUAAUAUAAACAUAUAGUAAAUAUAUAGA